CCUACGGGUGGCUGCAGUGAGGAAUAUUGGUCAAUGGGCGCGAGCCUGAACCAGCCAAGUCGCGUGAGGGAGGACGGCCCUACGGGUUGUAAACCUCUUUUGCCGGGGAGCAACGGGCGCCACGUGUGGCGUCACUGCGAGUCCCCGGAGAAAAAGCAUCGGCUAACUCCGUGCCAGCAGCCGCGGUAAUACGGAGGAUGCGAGCGUUAUCCGGAUUUAUUGGGUUUAAAGGGUGCGUAGGCGGAUCGUUAAGUCAGUGGUCAAAUUGAGGGGCUCAACCCCUUUCCGCCAUUGAAACUGGAGUGCUUGAGUGGAAGAGAGGUAUGCGGAAUGCGUGGAGUAGCGGUGAAAUGCAUAGAUAUAACGCAGAACCCCGAUUGCGAAGGCAGCAUGCCGGCUUCCGACUGACGCUGAAGCACGAAAGCGUGGGGAUCGAACAGGAUUAGAUACCCGGGUAGUC
rnacentral:rRNA from 1 species